rnacentral:lncRNA from 1 species
CACUAAGUUGCUUAGGGUCUUGCCAAGUUGCUGAGCCUGGCUUUAAACUCACGGAGCCUCCUGAGCUGCUGAGAUUAUAGACGUGCACUACCACGUCCAACCUGUUUUCAGUUUUUUAGGAUAUAUGUUUAGGAGUCACAUUGCUGAUCAGGUAGUAACUCUGUGUUCAACAAGUCAAGGAACUGCUGUACUGUUUGCCACACUGGCCACCAUUGUGCAUUCCCACCAGCAGUGAUGAGCGCUUCCAUUCCUCUACACAGCCACCAACACUCAAUACUGUCUUUGAUUCUAGCUCUCCUCCCAGUAUGAAGUGGCAUCCCGUGAUCUCGAUUCUCAUUUUGUUGAUGAAUGUAUUGUUGGAAAGUGUCUUCUCGCUUUUCCCUGUCAUUUAGUUAUGACUCAUGAAUGAAGCAGAAGGCUUUACUUUUUUGAAUUAUUUGUCUCUUCUAACACCUAAUGUCCAGGGUGGUGGUGGGAAGAUUUAUUUGGAACAAUAAAUAAACAAGCAAGUGUGGAAAGCUCAAAACAGGAUGAUUUAAUAAAUGUUUCUCACCUCGGCUGUGUUUUAGCUGUAAGUAGAUUCGGAAAGGAAAGCAAGAAUAGAACUAAUUGCUCAUCAAGAGAGUAGUAACAAAUAUAAGUGCUUCUGAUACACAUUUAAAUUAGAUUACAUUUAAUGAGAGGUUUUCUAAAUGGAGUUAAUUUGAAAGGACACACAAGUCAUUGGGUUUUAAUCUGUGUACCAUCACAAAUAGCUAUAAUCCCUCCACCCCCUCCAGUUCUUGGUAAAUAAAAGUUACUCUUCAGAAGAGCCUUUUACUUCCGUGUUCCUCCUACUCUCUGUGGAUGGCAGCUUCUGAGUGUGUUUGCAAGUAUACGGUACCAGUUAGGGAUGAAAAAAUAGACUAGUAUGCAUGUCUUUGGGGACCAGAAAGCAUGGGCAUUUGAUAAAU